CGGUGAUGGAGGGUUUGGGGACAAAAAUAGCCUCAGUGGUGUGGCUUGUGUUCGCAGAGUAAUGUCCUGGGUACGCUAUACUAUUAGGUGAGGCAGCCUGUAUCUUUAAUAACCUACGUUAGUACCUCAUUCUACAGAACACGUCGUAACAAAAUGGUUAUAAAAGUAUUUCUAGCUUCUUCAUCAGGAUCGACAGCGAUCAAAAAGAAGCAACAGGAUGUGCUUGGGUUCCUGGAGGCCCUGAAAGUGGACUACGCUCCAUUGGACAUUGCCUGCAAUGAGGACAACCGCAUGUGGAUGAGGGAAAAUGUCCCUGUGGAGAAAAAGCCCACCAACGGGAUCCCCCUACCCCCUCAGAUCUUCAAUGAAGAGAGCUACUGUGGGGACUACGAGACAUUCUUUGACGCUAAAGAAGACAAUGCAGUGUUUGCCUUCCUGGGUCUGCCACCUCCUCCAGGAUCCAAGGAAGCGAAAGAGGCUGAAAAGGCAUUUAUCCUUGAGAAUGGGCCUGUUGAAAAUGGGACUGUUGAGAUUGAGACCGUUGAGAGUGAGACCGUUGAGAACGGAACUGAUGAUGCUGAGGAUGAAGAGAACCUUGAAGCUGAGGAGGUUGAUGAGGAGAAUCUUGAUGAUGACUCACUAAAAAGAGAGGUUCCGAUGGAGGAGUUCAAUGGAGAUGAACACACAGAGGAGGUGGAAGCAGAGGUGGGAGGAGAAACAGGAGAGGAGGCAGCAGAAGAGGCCACAGAAGAAGACGCCGCCGCAGAAGAGAAGGUGGCAAAGGAGGAGGAGGAGGCGGUCGAAGACACAGAGGAAGCCACAGAAGACACUAAGGCCCCCAUGAAGCAGGAAGAAGCCCAGGAAGAAGUAGAGGAUGAGGAGGCUAAGGGAGAAGACGAUCAGCCGGUUUCUGAGGGAGAAGAGGAUUUGGGGUCGGAGGAGGAAGAAGAGCUGCGACAGCUUGAGGCCAUUGUAUCUCUUGCCUUUGAAAUGCUCAAAACCCCUGAUAUCCCCAUCCUUAGGAAGAAGAAGAGGCCCCAGAGGUAACAGAGCAGGAAGAAGAGGACGAGUAGUAACAGCCAGGAAAGGUUUAGGAUGUGAUUUACUACUGCCCAGCCUCGAGAGACCCCCUGUUCCGAUCCUUCCUGACCCCUCAGACCGUCCCACACCCAUCCCACUACCCACGAUGCCCCCACCUGCUCACUGUGAAUGCACAUGUUCCCCUGCUGGACCCUGCUGGCUGAAACCUGCCAAUCACACACUUGUCUGUACGGCCCACCCAUACUCCAGAGAUAACCCCCUGUUUUACCAGAUGUUUAUAUUGCGUAGGGGACUAGGACUAGAGAGGAUGUGUUGCUGUACUUCAUUUGUAUAACAUGGUUAGUUUAUAGUAGCUUCCAUCCAGUGUGUAGCACAAUUACAUAGUGUUAUCAGUUUGUUUUUUUCAGCAGCUUUUCUAAUUGUACAUACACAGUCAUAUGUUAAGUGUUUUAAAGAUUUCAAACAUACUUCUCAUGUUUCAAAUUGAAAAUGGUAGUUUUAUACCACAGUUUGUAUAGGAUGAUGUCACCACCAACAACUUAGCAGUCAAUGACGGACAGCUAUAACCCUGUGAGAAUCUGAGUGAAGAUCACUCUGAAUGGACUUAUAAUCUCAGACUGAAACAGAUCUAUCAAUGCAGUGCCUCUCACUCGAUGCCAGCAAAUAUGUUAGAUCUAUAUGUGUGAAUGCAACCCAGUGACUCUAUGUCUCAAUCCAACAUGAGAAAGACCCUUGUGUAGGGUUUACACUAGCUUUCAUAGGCUAGUGUACAAAGUCAGAUUCCAUAAAUUGCUUUUGGUCUUACUUUAAGGUUAGGGUUAACCAUAAGGUUAGCAGUGUGGUUGGGUUGGGUAAAAUAUUAAUUGUAGAAAUGGGCGGGGUUUAACCAUAAUUAUGACUUUGUGGCUGUGGAAACUAGUGACAACCCUCAUGUAGUGUGCUUUAUGACUGUGUUUGCAGCUACUGGACACCAUUCACUGAACGUUACUAUCUGCUGAUCUACUGUGCACUUUGUUGAAUGUAAAAUGAUGUGGAUGACUAAGAGAUCCCCCUAGAUGUAAGAGAAGUGAAAUGCCAAUAAAGUUGAAUGGUGUGAACAGCU